rnacentral:rRNA from 1 species
AAUCAACGCUGGCGGCGUGCCUCAGACAUGCAAGUCGAACGCGAAAGUCCCCUUCGGGGGAUGAUUAGAGUGGCGCACGGGUGAGUAACACGUAGGUAAUCUACCUUCGAGUGGGGAAUAACUCAGGGAAACUUGAGCUAAUACCGCAUAAUGCAGCGGCACCACAUGGUGACAGUUGUUAAAGCAUUUAUGCGCUUGAAGAGGAGCCUGCGGCAGAUUAGCUAGUUGGUAAGGUAAUGGCUUACCAAGGCUACGAUCUGUAACCGGCCUG